GUGCUGGAGACACACAGCGAGUGUGGCCUCGGAAUUACCUCCCAAGUAAAGCCCUUCAUGCAAGUCUCCAACCCUGUCUCCUCCCUGAGGCCUUUUCUCUGAGCGCUGACACAUAGAGUAAGUCUGAGUCACCAGAUGUCUGUGCUGAGCAGAGAGAGCCUCUUCUCCCUCGCCACUGUUGGACCUUUACGCAAACAAGACAGAAACCUCUGUUUCAUAAAUCCAUUCAAUGUCGUGUUUUGUUUGUUUUUUUUUUUAACAGCAGUAAACCUCAGUUGACUGAUUCAGAAGCCAAGUAAAACGAUCAAUGAGAUCCUCUUUCUAUAUCGGUUCCUGAGAAAGGAAUAUCCCCCAAAGACUCAAUCUACCUUGAAAAGAAAACUUUGGCUGCAUCAAGUUCUUCAGUCAAAAAGAAAAAAAAAAUUAGAAUUUUGUCAUGUAUACUAUCCUAAAUCAACUCUCCUGAAAAUUGAUCCCAAGGAAUCAACUGAAGUAAGGAUACCAUUUUUCCAGAAGUCAUCUUCUAAGUUAAAAAAAAUAAAUAAAUUGGGGGUGCCUGGGUGGCUCAGUUGGUUGAGCGUCUGAUGUCAGCUCAGGUCGUGAUCUCAUGGUUCAGAAAUUUGAGUCCUGCAUUGGGCUUUCUGCUCUCAGCACAGAGCCCACUUCAGAUCUUCUGCCCCCCUCUGUCUCUAACCCUCCCCUGCUCAUGCUUUCUCUCUCAAAAAUAAAAAAUAAACAUUAAAAAGAGCUAAAACUGUA
rnacentral:lncRNA from 1 species